rnacentral:lncRNA from 1 species
UGCAUUUGAUGUACUUGCCCCUGUUAGCUGACUUGUCCAGUGUUAGCUCCUAUAGCUGGGGCUCAGCUGUGCUAGCAGUCUUGUAUCGAGAGCUUUGCCAGGCGACAGAUCCGAAAGUUCGCGACAUUGGCGGAUGCCUCUCACUGCUGCAGUCCUGGGCGCUGUAUCGGAUGCCAUUUUUGGCAUCAGUUAGACACCAACCGUAUGUUUAUCCACUGCUGAACAGGUGAUAAAAUAUAACUUUUCGUUAUUUGUAGUCAUAAUAUAUUGACUAAUGUUACCAACCAACUCUAAACGCUAUAUUUUUUUUGUAGGUGGAGUGGUCGUUCGGGUAUCGGGCAGUCGUACAAUGUCCCGCUAUACCGCCUCAUGAUUGAACAGUAUGCCCGGGAUGGGGUAAGAUGCUAUUCUAAUAUUCAUGCUAUAGUCAUAUUCAUGACAUCUUACUUUCUAUAUCUUACACACACGUUAUGGCUAAUUAUAACCAUGUUAUUAAUCAUGCAGUUUAUAUGGACGCCGUACCGAACGCCAGAAAUUACCGCCGUGGUACCCUCGUAUGCAUACGUGCAUUCGUACAUAUGGUGCACUAACGCACCAAUUAUAAAUUUCAACAUGGUCGAUAGGUCAGGCAAGACGGGGAAUUCAUUUCCCAGACACGCAAUGUGCGCUCCAGCGUGUACACAUCAUCGACAUAUUGUUCAACAUUGACGUUAACUUUAGCAUACGCUACCACGACAUGUGCACAGGGAUAAUGAAGUGUUUCGAACCUUCUGCACUCGCACCGUCGG